UACGUAGGGGGCAAGCGUUGUCCGGAACCAUUGGGCGUAAAGCGCGUGUAGGCGGCUCGAUAAGUCUGCUGUGAAAGUUCAGGGCUCAACCCUGAAAUGCCGGUGGAAACUGUCGGGCUAGAGUCCGGAAGAGGCGAGUGGAAUUCCUGGUGUAGCGGUGAAAUGCGCAGAUAUCAGGAGGAACACCAAUGGCGAAGGCAGCUCGCUGGGACGGUACUGACGCUGAGACGCGAAAGCGUGGGGAGCAAACAGG
rnacentral:rRNA from 1 species